rfam:Gymnopus luxurians FD-317 M1 unplaced genomic scaffold GYMLTscaffold_42, whole genome shotgun sequence.
GGCGAGAUGGCCGAGCGGUCUAAGGCGCUAGAAUCAGGUUUACUUGAUAUAUCUAGUCAUUCGUGGCGUGGGUUCGAAUCCCACUCUCGUCA